UACGUAGGGUGCAAGCGUUGUCCGGAAUUACUGGGCGUAAAGGGCUCGUAGGUGGCCAACUAAGUCAGACGUGAAAUCCCUCGGCUUAACCGGGGAACUGCGUCUGAUACUGGAUGGCUUGAGUUUGGGAGAGGGAUGCGGAAUUCCAGGUGUAGCGGUGAAAUGCGUAGAUAUCUGGAGGAACACCGGGGGCGAAGGCGGCAUCCUGGACCAACACUGACGCUGAGUGAGCGAAAGCCAGGGGAGCAAACGGG
rnacentral:rRNA from 1 species